rfam:Mycoplasma verecundum strain ATCC 27862 genome assembly, contig: EI66DRAFT_scaffold00013.13
UUUUUCGAGAGUUUGAUCCUGGCUCAGGAUGAACGCUGGCUGUGUGCCUAAUACAUGCAUGUCGAGCGGAGUUCUUCGGAACUUAGCGGCGAAUGGGUGAGUAACACGUACUUAACGUACCUUUUAGAUUGGGACAACGAUGAGAAAUUAUCGCUAAUACCGGAUACUUAUAAGGAAGGCAUCUUCCUUAUAUAAAAGGAGCUUUCAAGCUCCACUAAAAGAUCGGGGUGCGGAACAUUAGCUAGUUGGUGAGGUAAUGGCUCACCAAGG